CAAUCAAGGUCAGGCAGAACUAAUUUUUAAAUUAUACUUCUAAUUUUAGAAUAAUUGUAUUUAAUUUCAACAGACCGUAUCUUUAUUAUGUGUAAGUUGAUGCAAUGACUUGGACUGAGACGUUUCAAAGAGUUGGUAAAUAAAAUAUCAAUUAUUGCAUCCAGAUGUUAAACGUAACCCUUCUCAUUGUCAGAGUUUCAGCACGGGCCCCAGAGGCCAAAUAGUAAACAGUAAGUGUCAAGUUCCCCACUUAUAAACUGAAAUACUAACUAGGCUAGACCAUCUACACCAGACACCAGACUUGUAAAGGGCAAAAUCCAAGCUAGUUCCACCAGCAUUAAAUGACCACCCUCUUCUAACCUCUUAAGGGAUGAAGAGACUUUGGCUCUGAGCUGUGUGUCCCUCCAAGGUGGAAGGAUUGAGCAUCCUUCUUUCUCACCCAAGCUUGUGGAGGGACUCCAAAAGGCCCUUGAGAGAGCAUGAGGCUGGGGAGACAUGCAGGUGGGUGUUGGAAAGGAGAGAAGCCAUGGCAGAAAUGCCCCUGUCUGUGGGCAGAGUGAGGGAAGAAUCACUUAGAAGUGAUCUGUACUUCCUCAAUGGCAGGGCAAAGGGAAAUGUUCCCAAGGACCACAUGUGGACCCCAUGCUGGGAUGUUGCCUGGAGUUAUCCAAGGACUUCAUCUCAGAGCACAUGCAGAGGUGGGACUACCUAGACAGGAGGUCAGAAAGUCAUCCAAGAGCACCAAGCUAGAGGUGGGCUCAGAAGGGCCCCACCUGUGCAGACCACCCCUACAGAGAGCCAUCGCCCAGUUACAGCCACCCUGGCCACGAGACAGGAGAGACAGGACUGCUGUCUCCCCUGUGCCACCCUCUCCUCAACCCAACCCGGAGGGGUCAGAAACUGCUGCUAGUUUGCCAGCCUGAAGUAGGCCCAAGUUCAGAAAGGGGGGAAAUUCAGAAUUUAAGAAAAUUUGGAGGGCUUCCUGGGGGGCUCAGUGGUAAAGAAUCCGCCUACCAGGGCAGGGGCUCAAUCCCUGAUCUGGGAAGAUCCCACAUGCCAAGGAGCAACAAAGGCAGAGCGCCGCAAGUCCUGAACCUGAACCCUAGAGCCCAGGAACUGCAGCUCCUGAACUGCAGCUCCUGAAGCCCGGGUGCCCUAGAGCAAGAGAAGCCCCUGCAAGGAGGAACCUGUACACUGCAACUAGAGGGUAAGCCCUGCUUGCUACAAAUAAAGAAAAGCCCCCUCAGCAACGACCCAGCACAGCCAAAUAAACAAAUAAAUUUGGAGUUUCGGUAUAACCCUUAAUGGGAUUAUAGGCCAUUCCAGUGACAGAUACAGAAACCAGAAAGGCUAUGGGGCAUAUAGUUUUAUCAACAGAAUGAGUCCACAGAUUAACAAUUCAAAUUACCUAGCUCCUGGUUUUUUUUUUCAAUAAACCGCCUAAAAUAUUUCUAAAUUCUUGGCAAUAAAAGGGUGGUGCCUUUUAACUUCAAGAGCAAGGAAGGAAAUGGCAUGGAUGUGACUGGAAAAUAAGGGGGAUGGGUGCUAAGGACUUUGAUUCUUUAUUUCUAAAAAUGAUGAAGAGCCAUGGAAAGCUUUUAGGUGUGGAUUACAAGACAGGAUUUUCCACAUUGCGGCUGCGGUGGGACAAGUGGACAGGGUGGGGUGGCUGGGAGCUGGCCUGGAGUAGAAGCAGAAAAACCAGUUAGAACACUGGUGAUCUGGUUGAAUGGGUGACUGGGUGACUCUGAAGUGAGUGGAUAUUAGACUUACUCUGAUGAUCCCUUCUACAGGUCUUAUUGAUGAAUAGCUCCACAGGUGGGGGUAGUGGGAUUUAGUGGGAGCAAAGAGAUUAUUCCUGGGUUUCUGAAUUAAGCAGCUGGGUGGUGCCUUUUAACAAAAAACAAAACAGGGGAGGAUGGGUGGGAAAAGUGACAAGUUUAGUUCUAAAUCUGUCAAGUUGAAGAACCUGUGAGAGAUCCUGGGAAAGCUGUCAGGUAGGCAGCUAGAUAGCAGAGCCUGGAGUUCAAGAAGCAGAGUGGGGCCACAGGCUCCCCCGAAAGUGGGUGGCCAGUGCAGCCUGGGAGGGCUGGGCUUGAAUGGACAGCAGGGCCCGAGCCUCAAGGAAAUCAGGGGAUUGUAGAGGAGGUGGAGGCAACAAGAAAAUUUCAAAGUAGAGAUCAGAAAGCAACCAAGAAGAGUGAGAAAGGAUGGUGACUUCUAAGUCUAGGGAGGAAUAAAACACAGUGUUAGAUGUUGUUGAAUGGCUAAUCAAAAUAAAGACUUGAUUAUUUCCUUCAGCAUAAUUCCUGGGCAGGGCACGUUGGGGAUACUUCCAGUGAGAUGGGCCAUGAGUUGUUGGCUGUGGAAGCUGGGUGUUGAGCACAUGAGGUUCACUGCACUGUUCUCUCUAUUUAUGUAGAUGUUUGAAACUUCCCAUAACAAAAUUUUUUUUUAUUAUUUUUCCAUAAUAAAAAUGUAGCCUUUGGAUUUAUUAUCACAGAGACCAGUGACCUCUGCACGAAUAGUUUCAUGAAGGCAGAAGCCAGACUGAAUGGAUUAAGCAGUGGAGGCAAGAAAGAGACAGGGUGUAAACAGAGAAGAACAUGGGUUUGGAAGAAGAUUUUUUUUUUUUUUUCUUUUUCAGAGUGGAGAGACUGGAGCUUGGUUAUAUCCUGAUAUGGCUGAGCUGGGGGCAGGGAAAUGUUGAAAAAGGAAGGAGCCUAAGAAGCCUGGUUCUGAGCUCACAAAAGAAGAAUGUCCAGCUUCGUCAGGUUGUUGGAGGUUGGCCAAGGGUGCCAAAGGAAGAAAAAUUGAACAUGAGAGUUUAGCUUAUAAUGCUGCUGGUGAAACAGUUCUCGGAGUUAUGACUUAACAUGCUGUGCUCUUGAAAAAUCACCCUCAAAUACAAACACAAAUAUCCCAUUCUGAAUGCAAAAGGCCGGUUCCUUACCACUAGUGCCACCUGAGAAGCCCCCCACAAGAGGAAACCCUUGCCUGAAUUUGAUGUCACCAUUUCUAGGUGUAUCUUUAUGCUUUUGCUAAAUGUAUAUGCAUCCUUACAUAGAUACUAUUAUUUUUCAUGAGUUGAAGCUUUAUAUAAAUGGUAUCAUAC